CCCCACUGCCCGCCACAACACACACACACAGGCGCACACACAUCCAUGCACUCGCACACACAUGCACGUGCACGUGCACACACAUCACAGGUUACCUCCUUCAACAUUGUGUACAGGCACACACACAUCCAUGCACUCACACACACGCACAUACACGUGCACGUGCACAUACACACAUCACAGGUUACGUCCUUCAACAUUGUGUACAGGCACAUACACACAUCCAUGCACUCACACACACAUGCACAUGCACGCGCACACACAUCACAGGUUAUCUCCUUCAACAUUGUGUACAGGCACACACACACAUCCAUGCACACACACACAUCCAUGCACUCACACGCACGCACGUGCGCGCGCGCACACACACACAUCACAGGUUACCUCCUUCAACAUUGUGUAGAGCACAGGCCAGCAAGCUUUUCCUGCAAAGAGCCGGAGAGUGAACAUUUUAGGCUUUGUGGGCCAGACAAUCUCUGUUGCAAGGAUUCAGCUCUGCCAUAGACAAUACAUAAAUGCACAGAUGUGGCCACGCUCCAGUAAAAGCGUAUUCACAAAGUCAGACGGCGGGGCCAGGCGUGGGGGCUCACGCCUGUAAUUCCAGCACUCUGGAGGCCAAGGUGGGAGGAU
rnacentral:lncRNA from 1 species